UACGUAGGCAGCAAGCGUUGUUCGGAAUUACUGGGCGUAAAGAGUGUGUAGGCGGUGCUCCAAGUCUGGUGUGAAAUCUCCCGGCUUAACUGGGAGGGUGCAUUAGAAACUGGAGUGCUAGAGGAUGGGAGAGGUAAGCGGAAUUCCUGGUGUAGCGGUGAAAUGCGUAGAUAUCAGGAGGAACACCGGUGGCGAAGGCGGAUCUCUGGGCCAUAACUGACGCUGAGGAGCGAAAGCAUGGGGAGCGAACAGG
rnacentral:rRNA from 1 species